rnacentral:tRNA from 1 species
CACCAGAGGGUGCAAUAAGACUUGCUAACUCUUUAACCCGGAACUAACAACCGGCCCCCUCU